AUCCAACUGACAAGUCCCAAAUAGGACUAAACGCGCGUCCUGGAU
rnacentral:hammerhead_ribozyme from 1 species